rnacentral:lncRNA from 1 species
GGUGGCCUGACAUCAUCAAAAUGUAGACGAUCAAUCUCUCCUAGUCAUCCCCCCCACCAUGAUAUUGAAAGAUUUAAAAGGUUCAUAAAGUGUAGAAAUACCUCUCAAAUCAUGUGCUUUAAGUUUUUGUAUUUGUCCAUCCUGGUUGGAGUUCUAAUCCACUUGGACAUGUUUUUCAACUAGACACAGCAGAAUGCCUUUCAUAUUUGUACAAUCUGCAACAAGCUCCAACGAGCCAGUCCACGUUUAGUUCUGGGGAAAGCACUUCAAUCCAGGUUUAAAUUAUUACCAUUGGUUUGGCCUUAUUGAAUUAGUGCUUAAAACAUUUUCAUAAUAUUUUAUACAUGAUGAAACCCUAGGCAUUGAUAUUGAUGGUUUCCCUGCCCUUCUGCACCUCUAUCCCCACCCAGUUUUGCGAGCCCAGAAUAUAUAGUGUGAGAUUAAUGUGUGAGUAAUGCAUCAUAAUGCACUCCUGACAUUUUGUCUGGCACAUGUCUCAGAGUUUGGGUAAGUCUUGUCUCUCUUAGAGCAGUGUGUUCCAUAAGAAAAAUGCUCAUGAAUUCUCCUUUGAGGUUGGGAAGUUAGGGGAUAAAUAUAUGCCUUUAGUGUGUUGUCUUUCCUUUGCAGCUUUCCGGAUGAUCCCAUAUCCUCUGGAGAAGGGGCACCUAUUUUAUCCAUACCCAAUCUGUACAGAGACAGCUGACCGGGAGCUACUUCCCUCUUUCCAUGAAGUCUCAGUUUACCCAAAGAAGGAACUUCCCUUCUUCAUCCUCUUCACUGCUGGAUUGUGUUCCUUCACAGCCAUGCUGGCCCUCCUGACACAUCAGUU